AGAGCUUUUUUUUUUUACUAAAGUUACUAAGAAGGUCGGAACAGUGAUUUUGUCCCCAAAAUUGCAUCGCCGGGCGGCCGGGCCUGACCAGGUGGAAUGCAGGUACACCUCUAGGACAACCGCGGCCGCCGCUUCGAGCAGGAGGUCGGCGUGAAGGAGGAGCGCGGCAAGCGGGAGUUUGGCAUCUUCUGUCCUCUGCCCCGUCGCACCACCGUGGUUGCGCCGCCCACGUCCAGACGACGGCCCUCUCCUGCCGCUAGAUGCCUCCGCUGAGACGACGCUGCCAGAGGCAGCGACCAGCAGCCUCACCGGUGCCCUCGCGCGCGAGCGGACAGGCGCCGGAAGAACUUGGUUCCAGCGAUGCUGCAGAUCGCACUCGCGUUGCUGCUCUACAUCGGCCUCGACCUCCCCGAGGCCGUCGCCGCCGUUUCUGUUAAGACUUGUGCGCGGAGGUGGUUUGACGAGCGGGAGACAAGUCACCUGGCCAACUGGGCAAGCACGGCCGGGCACGGCAACACUGAGGAGCUCCCGACGAUUCAUUUCAGCUGUCCAAGUAUUACGGGGUAGAGCUGGAAAUACGGGAGCGGUGUGGGUUUUUCUUGCGGGAAAAGGGACUUGGGCGUGGAAAUCGAUGCGGCCAUUGGAUGAAGAACAACAACAUGCGGUAGGGAGCAUGGAGAGGGAGCAGCCAUGCCGCGUCCUCUUGGCAUCGCUCAUCCCCUCCGUCAAGACGCGUCAAUCUGGCGACCUCGACCCCCCAUGGCUGUGUACUACAGCCAACUCUGGCUGGCCAACUUCCGAUGCGCCCCAGGUGUUCGUGGUAAUGCUCUAAUCACGCGGCGCCUCGUCAAUUGAUCAACAAAAUUCCGUCUGUAGCUCCGGCUCUGCAGCGUGCUUCGGUGGAGCAAUGUGCCAAUAAAAAUAGGAACCUGUGGCCUGCGCCUUAGGCUGUGGUGCCGAACCUUGUUUGCUGCCUUUAGCGUCUCCUUCCUCCCUGUCAUAGAUUUGCACUGGAACCGCAGUGCGUUCCUCGAUUUCGUGGCGCCAAGCUUCAUCACGCUGAUGAGGUAACAAUCAUGAUUGAUGACAAACCUCAGCAGACAUGAUUCCAUGGUGGCAGUGGAUGCUGUCCCCUGUCUGGCCGAAACCGCUGCUGGCUUCGAUAAACACACCAUCAUCAGUUAUUCCAACAGUCUCAAUAAGAGACUGCUUUGGGGGAUCCUUGGUGGGUAUAAAUACGGAGCUCAAUGGGUUGUCUGACAUCCCUUUACCCACGUGCUCGUUGUGAAGAAC